GUCAUCACGGCCCUGCCAGACGUACACGUCAACACAGCUUCUGCUGACCGGCAUCUGAGAACAAAGCAGGCGACAGUUCAACAGUUCCUCAGAGGUGGAAUCCUGCGUCAGCACGAUGAAAAUGACGGCUUUCCGUAUGUAAGAAUUAAGGGGAAAAGAAAAGCUGCCUUAGAGUUCCUCCCCCUUAGUCUGAGGGCAACCGUGGCACGCCAGGAAUGCUUUCCAGUUGCGUUUCGGUGCCGAGACACGUCCGGCUUGUGCAAGCGGCUUGUGAGAAUGAAAACAACAAUUCUCCUAUCAAUCAGACAAAAACACCUCCUCUGAGACUUCCAAGGAUUCUACUGAAAAGAUUAGCAGCCCUCCAGGGUGUUCUCUGCCUUCUACACUGAGUAUGCUGGCAGAGGCUUUUAGGUUCCCCACAAGCCUACAGUAUAUAGGAUAAACGUUACAGAAAAAUAGAUGGAUGGAUUCUGCAUCCAGAAGCUGUACCAGCUCCGAUCGACUUCAGUGUGAUGAAGAUUUUGGACCUCCACUGAGAUGAGGCAGACUCAGCGAAUCCUGAGGCAUCUAGAGAUUUACCAGCUCCAGUCAGACUCUGCGAUACUGCGAGGAGAUGCCAACUCCACGUGAUCUUUUGCAUCAAUACAACAUCUGUUUGACUGUAUAUUUAUAAUCACACCCUCCAG